UCGCAAGGCUCAAAUUGGGCUCGCUCACGAGUAAUUGUGUGCGGAACACCUGUCAAAUUCGGUGAAACCUCUCUCGCGGUGCGAGGUGGCAAUACCGAGCCAAGUCCUGAGUAAAAACCAAGGGAAAGGUGUAGAGACUAGAUGGCAGGCCCCUAUUUUGGAAGCUAGAAACUAGAUGCUAGAAGCUGGAGAUGCCUGAAGGCAUUAGAUUUUUCCAGACUCUAGUUUCCGGUCUCUAGUUUCUAGAGUGGGGUGAAGGUAUAGUCCAGACCACGAAUUCAUUCGUCA
rfam:Candidatus Kaiserbacteria bacterium RIFCSPHIGHO2_01_FTLL_53_29 rifcsphigho2_01_scaffold_1851, whole genome shotgun sequence.